rnacentral:tRNA from 1 species
GCGUCCGUAGCUCAGUUGGAUAGAGCGCCGGCCUUCUAAGCCGGAUGUCGCAGGUUCGAUCCCUGCCGGGCGCGCCG